UUCCGGUCCGAUCUACUCUACGUUUCGGUCCGAUCUUCUUCUUCCUUUACUUCGGAUCUGCUCAAAGAACGGGUUGUGUUGUUGUUUAGCUACGAAACGGUUAGUAUGGUGCAGUAACACUGUCUUUCGAGCUCCUUGUGGAUGAAUGGAUCCGAGUCUGUACGAAGGUUUUAUGAUGAUGAUUUUGUUGUGUUUGAGUUGUUGGUAAAUUGUGGUUGAAUG
rnacentral:lncRNA from 1 species